AUUGAACGCUGGCGGCAGGCCUAACACAUGCAAGUCGAACGAGUGGCGGACGGGUGAGUAAUGUCUGGGAAACUGCCUGAUGGAGGGGGAUAACUACUGGAAACGGUAGCUAAUACCGCAUACCAUCAGAUGUGCCCAGAUGGGAUUAGCUUGUUGGUGGGGUAACGGCUCACCAAGGCGACGAUCCCUAGCAGGUCUGAGAGGGUGACCGGCCACACUGGGACUGAGACACGGUCCAGACUCCUACGGGAGGCAGCAGUAGGGAAUAUUGCGCAAUGGACGCAAGCCUGAUGGAGCAAUGCCGCGUGUGUGAAGAAGGCCUUCGGAUUGUAAAAUUCUUUCGGCAGAGAAGCGUUACCCAACCAGAAAGCAACGGCUAACUCCGUGCCAGCAGCCGCGGUAAUAC
rnacentral:rRNA from 1 species